UGGGGAAUCUUGGACAAUGGGGGCAACCCUGAUCCAGCCAUGCCGCGUGAGUGAUGAAGGCCUUAGGGUCGUAAAGCUCUUUCGCCUGUGAAGAUAAUGACGGUAGCAGGUAAAGAAACCCCGGCUAACUCCGUGCCAGCAGCCGCGGUAAUACGGAGGGGGUUAGCGUUGUUCGGAAAUUACUGGGCGUAAAGCGCACGUAGGCGGACCAGAAAGUUGGGGGUGAAAUCCCGGGGGCUCAACCCCGGAAACUGCCUCCAAAACUAUUGGUCUAGAGUUCGAGAGAGGUGAGUGGAAUUCCAAGUGUAGAGGUGAAAUUCGUAGAUAUUUGGAGGAACACCAGUGGCGAAAGGCGGCUCACUGGCUCGAUAACUGAACGCUGAGGUGCGAAAAGUGUGGGGAGCAAAACAGGAUUAGAUACCCUGGUAGUCCACACCGUAAAACGAUGAAAUGCCAGUCGUCGGGUAGCAUGCUAUUCGGUGACACACCUAACGGAUUAAGCA
rnacentral:rRNA from 1 species